rnacentral:rRNA from 1 species
AUGAAACGUUGGCGGCGUGGAUUAGGCAUGCAAGUCGAACGGGCCUAGCAAUAGGCCAGUGGCGCAAGGGUGAGUAAGGCGACGGUAACCAACCCCACGGUUGGGUAUAGCCGCGGGAAACUGCGGGUAAUCCCCAGCGACAUAAGCUAUCGGCAUCGGUGGCGUAUCAAAGCUUCCGGCGCCGUGGGACGGGGCCGUCGUGGUAUUAGCUAGUUGGCGGGGUGAUGGCCCACACAAGGCCGUGAUGCCUACCGGGCGUGCGAGCGUGGCCCGGCACACUGGGACUGAGACACUGCCCAGACUCCUACGGGAGGCUGCAGUCGAGAAUCUUUCGGCAAUGGGCGCAAGCCUGACCGAGCGACGCCGCGUGGAGGACGAAGGCCUUCGGGUUGUAAACUCCUGUCGAGGGGGAGGAAGGCGCAAGCUUGACCGAUCCCUGGAGGAAGCACGGGCUAAGUUCGUGCCAGCAGCCGCGGUAAGACGAAACCGUGCGAACGUUAUUCGGAAUCACUGGGCUUAAAGCGCGUGUAGGGCGGAUGACCACGUCGGCCUCUGAAAUCCCCCGGCUCAACCGGGGAAAGUGGAGCCGAUACGGGUCGUCUGGAGGAACGUAGGGGAACCUGGAACUUCCGGUGGAGCGGUGAAAUGCGUUGAGAUCGGGAAGGAACGCCCGUGGCGAAAAGCGAGGUCCUGGACGUUUACUGACGCUGAGACGCGAAAGCCAGGGGAGCGAACGGGAUUAGAUACCCCGUAGUCCUGGCCGUAAACGAUGGGCACUGGGUAGGGGGCUCUCCGAUGGGCUCCCUGCCGUAGCGAAAGCGUGAAGUGCCCCCGCCUGGGGAGUAUGGUCGCAAGGCGGCUUGAAACUCAAAGGAAUUGACGGGGGCUCACACAAGCGGUGGAGCAUGUGGCUUAAUUCGAGGCUACGCGAAGAACCUUAUCCUGGGCUUGACAUGCAGGGAUUAGCCGGCGGAAACGUCGGCGACGCCGCAAGGUGGAACCUGCACAGGUGCUGCAUGGCUGUCGUCAGCUCGUGCCGUGAGGUUGUUGGGUUAAGUCCCGUAACGAGCGAAACCCCUGUGAUCAGUUGCCAGCGCGUCAUGGCGGGGACUCCUGAUCAGACCGCCGGCGUCAAGCCGGAGGAAGGCGGGGACGACGUCAAGUCAUCAUGGCCCUUAUGCCCAGGGCUGCACACGUGCUACAAUGGGGCGGACAGAGCGUCGCCAGGCCGCAAGGCCGAGCUAAUCGCAAAAAUCGCCCCUCAGUUCGGAUUGCGGGCUGCAACUCGCCCGCAUGAAGCUGGAAUCGCUAGUAAUCGCGGAUCAGCACUGCCCGCGGUGAAUGUGUUCCUGAGCCUUGUACACACCGCCCGUCAAGCCACCAAAGCGGGGGGCAUCCGAAGUCGUCGGAGCCGCGAGGCAGGCGCCGAAGAUGAAACCCGUGAUGGGGACU